UGGGGAAUAUUGCACAAUGGGCGCAAGCCUGAUGCAGCCAUGCCGCGUGUAUGAAGAAGGCCUUCGGGUUGUAAAGUACUUUCAGUCGGGAGGAAGGUGUCAAGGUUAAUAACCUUGGCAAUUGACGUUACCGACAGAAGAAGCACCGGCUAACUCCGUGCCAGCAGCCGCGGUAAUACGGAGGGUGCAAGCGUUAAUCGGAAUUACUGGGCGUAAAGCGCACGCAGGCGGUUGAUUGAGUCAGAUGUGAAAUCCCCGGGCUUAACCCGGGAAUUGCAUCUGAUACUGGUCAGCUAGAGUCUUGUAGAGGGAGAGAGAAGUCCAUGUGUAGCGGUGAAAUGCGUAGAGAUGUGGAGGAAGACCGGUGGCGAAGGCGGCCCCCUGGACAAAGACUGACGCUCAGGUGCGAAAGCGUGGGGAGCAAACAGG
rnacentral:rRNA from 1 species